CUCUCUGUCACCUCCGUGUUAGCGAGGCGUCGGUCAACAAGCGCACACAGACGCAUUCAGACGCCGGGGACACGUUACGGGAAGCGGACUUUUUAAUGGCUUGUAUACGCAUAGCUGGGGGCGGAGCUACGGCUUCUGUAAUUUGACUGCGCUUCCUAUUCGGUGGACGACUGCAAUGGCAGUCCAAAACGAGAGCCCUGCUCGUAAAUGUCGGGACGCCUUUAUCGAAGGAGCGGAGAGGAACUCACCCGAACGCCCCUCUUGCCUGGCAGGCCCGGCUUCCCUGGAGGUCCUUGCAGUCCCUGCAAAGCGAAGGAAAAAAAAAAUCACUGUGUUGCCUUUUGACUGACGGCGGAACAAACUCAAUCAACCAUCACGUUAGCGAGGUCCGAGCUAAUUCCAUUAGCAGGUUGAAAGAGGAUGCAAUUUGUCCAAGUGGAAGAGUCUGACUGAGACAUCAGGUGAGAUUCAGCUCCCACAGAUAAAAGUGAUGGACGACAGCCGGCCUCGCACGACGCGGCACAAUUGCGCCGACGCUCAAAGUUGAACGGUAGGCGAUUGUUUUCACUUGAUCUUGGUAGGAGGAGUGCAGAGAAGGAAUCGCUUGCACGUUUCCCCCGUUUAAAGACGGCGGGCGGCAGGUGGUAACAGCCAGGACUCCGAGUCUUGUGCAAGUGACUUGCCAUCUGUUGCUUUAUUUAGGAUAAUUGUCAGUCCAUUUUAUGGCAUUCCAAAUAAGCCAAGUUUGUAGCCAUUUUGUUUGCACAUGCGCCUAUUAAUUUUGCUCUUCCCGAGAAUUGUUUCUAAUUUCAGAUCUAGGGAGUUGCGCAAUGACAGCUUUUCCAAUUUAUUGUACUGGCACGGAGGUACAGAGCGUGAGUUCUUCUGCCACCCAAGGUGGUCGCAUCCCCAUGCUGACCCUACGCCAGUCAAAAACCUGAUCCGUCAAUCACAGCGUGACUCCUUGACAAGGGCGGGCAUGAAGAAGACACACCGGUGGCCGGUCGCUGGCUGGCUGAGGCGGUCACGCGUCGCUACGGAAGCUCCGGGAAAGAAAAGGCAUGUUGAC